UACAGAGAGUGCGAACGUUGUUCGGAAUUACUGGGCUUAAAGCGCACGUAGGCGGUGCUGUAAGUGUCAGGUGAAAUCCCCACGGCUCACCCGUGGAACUGCCUGGCAGACUGCGGUACUAGAGUGUGGUAGGGGAGAGCGGAACUCCUGGUGGAGCGGUGAAAUGCGUAGAUAUCAGGAGGAACACCGGUGGCGAAGGCGGCUCUCUGGUCCACAACUGACGCUGAGGUGCGAAAGCUAGGGGGAGCAAACGGGG
rnacentral:rRNA from 1 species